ensembl:miRNA
ACUCCCAAUCCUUGUACCAGUGUCUUGACACCAGUGACGCUGGACGGGUUUUGGGGGGGCU